rnacentral:tRNA from 1 species
UGGCUCAGACGGUAAAGCGUCUGCCUGCAAUGCGGGAGACCCAGGUUCAAUUCCUGG